rnacentral:rRNA from 1 species
GACGUAGGGCGCGAGCGUUGUCCGGAUUUAUUGGGCGUAAAGGGCUCGUAGGCGGUUUGUCGCGUCGGGAGUGAAAACGCCCGUGCUUAACACGGCGCUUGCUUUCGAUACGGGGCAGACUAGAGGUAUGCAGGGGAGAACGGAAUUCCUGGUGUAGCGGUGAAAUGCGCAGAUAUCAGGAGGAACACCGGUGGCGAAGGCGGUCUCUGGGCAUUGACCUGACGCUGAGGAGCGAAAGUGUGGGGAGCGAACAGG